rnacentral:rRNA from 1 species
UACAGAGGGUGCAAGCGUUGUUCGGAAUUAUUGGGCGUAAAGCGCGUGUAGGCGGCUUUGCAAGUCGGGUGUGAAAGCCCUCAGCUUAACUGAGGAAGUGCGCCCGAAACUGCAGAGCUUGAGUACCGGAGAGGAUGGCGGAAUUCCCCAAGUAGAGGUGAAAUUCGUAGAUGUGGGGAGGAACACCGGUGACGAAGGCGGCCAUCUGGACGGAUACUGACGCUGAGACGCGAAAGCGUGGGGAGCAAACAGG